AUCGCGAAGAACCUUACCUGGCCUUGACAUCCACGGAAUUCGGCAGAGAUGCCUUAGUGCCUUCGGGAACCGUGAGACAGGUGCUGCAUGGCUGUCGUCAGCUCGUGUUGUGAAAUGUUGGGUUAAGUCCCGCAACGAGCGCAACCCUUAUCCUUUGUUGCCAGCGAGUAAUGUCGGGAACUCAAAGGAGACUGCCGGUGACAAACCGGAGGAAGGUGGGGAUGACGUCAAGUCAUCAUGGCCCUUACGGCCAGGGCUACACACGUGCUACAAUGGCGCAUACAAAGAGAAGCGAACUCGCGAGAGCAAGCGGACCUCACAAAGUGCGUCGUAGUCCGGAUCGGAGUCUGCAACUCGACUCCGUGAAGUCGGAAUCGCUAGUAAUCGUAGAUCAGAAUGCUACGGUGAAUACGUUCCCGGGCCUUGUACACACC
rnacentral:rRNA from 1 species